rnacentral:tRNA from 1 species
GCCCAAGUAGUAUAUUUGGAAUUACUCCACUUUGUUACCGUGGCGAUACAGGUUCGUUUCCUAUCUUGGGUA